UAGUAUUGAAAUGUAGAAUUCUAGUAGGUUUAGAAGAAAUGCGUCAGAUUUGUGUUUUUAGUUCAUUGGGUAAUUUAUGAAUAAGAACCUGUGCA